rnacentral:misc_RNA from 1 species
UCGAUGGUGUGAAAAUAGUUCCUGAUGUCGAAUUCUAAAAACCAGCGAGAGGUUCCCCACUCUUCUUUGAUCCGUCUUAGGACCGAGUGGCAGCCUCGACCCGAGCGGAAGUGCGAUGUGUCUGGAAACUCGGAAUCGUAAAUGAAUUCGAGUACCAUUCUGAUCGCCUCUUUCAUGAUCUUUUCUAUAGGUAAAACGACUGUGAGCGGUCUAAACUUCAACCCUUAUUGCUUUCUUCAUAUUGUAAAGGGGAGCAAAGCCCUUUUUUUGCUCCCUCUAUUGAUGAUAGAUCAAGGGCCCUCCUGCCGUCGUUUCAGUGACUCAUAGGGCUUCCCUCAGCUCAGUCUUUUUGGUUCUUGAGAAUGGUCGCCGCCUCUCCCAGGACCGGAAUGAUUAUCCCUGCCCGAUGGGUCUACAUCCAUCCCUGAAUGUCGUCGGGUACUGUUCACUUCCCCGCCAUUCUUGUAACCGUCACCUGUAAUCCGCGCAAGUGUGUCCGCACCCCCCUGAGUGGACGAGAAAGAAAGGAUUUCUCAGAGCAACCCCCAGGAGUCAACUUUCCCGUAUGAGCAUUCGGUACAUGUAUCAGUCCGUGGAAAAGUGAAAGGGUCACCACUACUGAGGAUCUCCCCCCUAAUCUUAGAUAGGUCGUCUGAGGGUUCGCCGCGGUUCAUUGCUGUGCUUACACACUAGGCUACCCUUCUCCGAAAGCUCCGCGUGACCACCUACCACUAGUCUUCAGCCGGAAGGGUUUAUUGCACAAAAACGCCGGGACGCAGGCUCCCGAAGAGGGAAGCCCAACGAAUGUCAGAUGCAAAGCCCCGCACCUCAUUAAGAUCAUAUUGGCAUACUCUCC